AUUGAACGCUGGCGGCAUGCCUUACACAUGCAAGUCGAACGGCAGCACGGGUGCUUGCACCUGGUGGCGAGUGGCGAACGGGUGAGUAAUAUAUCGGAACGUACCUUAUUGUGGGGGAUAACGCAGCGAAAGCUGUGCUAAUACCGCAUAAUCCCUAAGGGGGAAAGCGGGGGACCGUAAGGCCUCGCGCAAUUAGAGCGGCCGAUACCUGAUUAGCUAGUUGGGGAGGUAAAGGCUCACCAAGGCGACGAUCAGUAGCUGGUCUGAGAGGACGAUCAGCCACACUGGGACUGAGACACGGCCCAGACUCCUACGGGAGGCAGCAGUGGGGAAUUUUGGACAGUGGGGGCAACCCUGAUCCAGCAAUGCCGCGUGAGUGAAGAAGGCCUUCGGGUUGUAAAGCUCUUUUGUCAGGGAAGAAACAGCAGCUCUAACACAGUUUGCGAAUGACGGUACCUGAAGAAUAAGCACCGGCUAACUACGUGCCAGCAGCCGCAGUAA
rnacentral:rRNA from 1 species